rnacentral:misc_RNA from 1 species
CGCACAUUGCGCCCCUUGGCAUUCCGAGGGGCAUGCCCGUUCGAGCGUCAUUAAAUCCAAUCAAGCCUGGCUUGGUAUUGGGCGUCGGGACCGUCCCGCGCCUCAAUUUCGUCGGCUGACCGUUGGCCCAAUAACUAUCGUGUUGUGACCUUUGUAUUUCACGAUAUGAGGGGCGGACCAUGCCGUUAAACAUAUUCAAUUACGAUUGAUUAAGAUUGACCUCGGAUCGGGUAGGAAUACCCGCUGAACUUAA